rnacentral:sRNA from 1 species
AAAAGAACACCUGUUGUCUGUUUUCACCUAGGGAGCUGAGCACAUAACGACUUACACGUUCAAUACUCACAAAGCCCAGCAUACCUUCUGUAAGAGAUGUGGCGUUCAGAGCUUCUAUACUCCACGGUCAAACCCCGGAGGCUUCGGAAUCGCCCCCCACUGCCUGGAUGAGGGCACUGUGCGGAGUAUGGUCACUGAGGAAUUCAAUGGCAGCGAUUGGGAGAAGGCCAUGAAAGAGCACAAGACCAUCAAGAACAUGUCUAAAGAGUGAGCUUCUGCCUCUCCUGCCCUGAAAAGGAGGAAUGAUUGGGGCCAGCAACUUUGCUCUCCCUGCCGUGCCUCGGUGGUGCUCCUGAAUGUGGCUGACCUGGGCUGCUGGUUCCGUUGACUAGGGUCAUCUUGAUCUUUGAAGUUUGCUCCAGUUACCAGUUUCUUUAGGCAGCUCUUUGUCCUCCCUCUGCCCAGAUUUUGAUGUAGUCUAGUUGACACCCUUCUCUUCCCAACUUUUGUGUGAUCUUUUAGGAAAAAAAAUAAAUAUUUUUAACAUUAAAGCA